AAUUUUCAUGGGACUUAAAUUGUAAUUAUAAAUGUUCAAGGGCUAGAAAUUGUGUAAUAUAGGAAUUAGGGAUUUAGUUUCUAUUUUUGAAGAUGUGAGGACUAAAUGUGAUAUUGUAUGAAGAUUGGGGGACUUGACUUGCAAAUACCCCAUAAUUAUCCAUUAACUUAGGAUAUAAACUUCCAUUUUUUUUCAUUUUUGGGGGCAAAAGUCGAGAAAGACCGAGAGAGACCAAAAGAAUGGAAGAAAGAAAAGAGGAGGAGGAGGAGGAGAAGAAGAGGAAGUGGAUUUCCAAGCUUGGUGCUUCAUUUCUUCAAUUUCUCAUUUGAUUUAGAGAGGUAAGAACAAGUAUAUUAAAUUAAAUUUUCUUAGGGUUUAUGGAAAUUUUGUUUCAAUUCAAAACUUAGCUAGAAUUAGGUAUUAUUAAUAUAUAUUUGGUGUUAUAAUUAGAAAUAUAGCAAAGAAAUAUGUUUAUUUGAAUGUUGAAAUUGAAGAAAGUGGAACUUUAAUAUGUUUAUUUGAAUGUUGAAAUUGAAGAAAGUGGAACUUUGUAAAUGGGUUUAUGAAAUGGAUAUUUAUUCUUUGAUCUUUUUGGGAUUAUAUGAUGUCAAGCACUUAAAUUAAGGAUUUUGGGUUGAUUUCUCCAUUUUUAAAUAAUUAAUAUAAGCCAUUCUGGGACAAAAUCCUACUCAAGUGCUGCUUAUGAAAGUCUACCUAGAAUAGCGCUAUUUUUGUAAAAGGUUUUGAUACCAGAUUGUAAUAUAGAAAUUGGUGCCAGAUUUUAAUAUUAUGGGAUUUAGUGCUGUUUUUGUCAAAGCUCUUAUUUUCAGAUUUUUAAAGAUUUGAAUGAAGUUAUAUGACAAAUAUUGAAGUUUAUGUAUUGGACUAAAUUCGGUAUAGGGGUUAUAUAUGAAUAAGGUAGUAAUUUUAAGGAAGUGUGAGUGAUUUAAUGGAUCUGAUAAUGAAUGGUGAUUAGUUGAUAAAUCAUUAAAGAGACGAAAAGUUGGGGAAUUGGAGAUGUAAGAAUAAAUAUAGAAGUUGAGAAGUUGUGGAUUUGGAUGAUUUAAUUGUUAGAUUUUAAUUUGAGUAAUUAUAUCGUUAUUUCAAGUAGUGAUGUGAAAGUUUGGAAAGACUCGUCAAUUUAGCCAGAUUUCUAUCCAUAGAUCUGUGAGAGGAUAUAAAACUUAUUUUUCAAAAAUUAAUAUUUAUUAAAUUUAUAUUAGAUUAGAAAAUUUAUUAUUUUAUAUAGUUGAUUUGAUAGCAUGAUUUUUAGAAUAAAAUGCAAUUAUAAUCAGUUAUUUUUAAAGUUAAAUUCUGUUCAAUUAAAUCAUUUGAUUAGCAUGUUAUAUGAAUAUAAAUGUUUCAGUAUAACUAAGGUUAUUACUAAAAACACUAGAGAGUACCUAGGUGAUUUUACCCCAGUCUGUAUUGGUGUAAAUGUGUUUACACAGUGUAUGACCAGUUAUGGUGAUUUUACCCGCUCUGUACUAUUGUAAAUGUGUUUUCAUAGUGUAUGACCAUAUUAUCAGAGGUCUUUGGGACUCAUUCUCAUACACAUGUAGGCUUUGGGCUAUGUACUAGGGCGAUUAGCCUUUGGGGUAGCUCUGCGUAUGUAUGACCAAAUUAUCAUAUUUGAACGACUUUGCCUUGUACAUCGAGAUUACUCUGUACAUGAGUAAGGCUAUUCAUUGUGUACUUUUUUGGCGUGAUUUUUCAGUAUUUCUACAGCUUAACAGUUUUCAGAUUAUAGAAUUCAGUUAAUUCAAUUUUUAGAAUAAAGCUUUCAACUUAUAGUAUUGAGCAGCAUCAAUAUUUCAUAGUUUUUCAUGGAUAUCAGAUUAUUUAUAGUCAUUAUAUUUUAUAGUUGUUUUUCUAGAAUUAAGAACAAAGAAUUUUAUGAUGCAAUCAUAUUUAGUUUUAAAAGCGUUAUUAAAUUUUCAAAAUUUCUAAAAGUUUUAGUAGUACAAGAAUUUUCAAAAAAAAUAUGCAUAAAUAGAAAAAAAGUAUACUUAUUUUCAAAUUAUCCACCUACUGAGCUCUAAGCUCAUAUUUCUUUUACCCUUUCUCUUUAUCAGAUAGCAGUCGAGUUGAGAAGCUUGGAGCCUGUCGAUUCAUCGAAAUAAGGCACAUACAUGGUCAUCAGUUAUAUGACCCAUUUUGUCAGUUUAUUUAAUUCAUUUUUUUUUUUAGGUAAAUAUAGUUUUUGUUAGAAAAGUUUAUCAUGGGCUCACUACUUAUUUGAUCUCUUUGAUACAUUUGAGGACUUUUGGCUGUAGAGCAAAGUAAAAAUACUGAUUUUCCAACAUAUUAUUUUGAAUAAUUUGUAUUUUGAGGAACUGGCGCACCUGAUUUAUAUUACAGGUAUUGAUUUGAGGAAAUUAGUUAUUGUUCAGGGGGUUUUAGUUCAUAUUUCAGGGAAAAUUCUGUCAAAAUUUUGUUGAAUAUAUUUUUUAGUCAAGUAAAUCAAAGCUGCCUUGGUGGUGAGUCCGACGUUUAACUGGUAUCUACCAUCGGCGCAUGACACAUGCUGAGUCCACUAAGGUGAUUCGAAAUAGGUCGUGUCACUUUAUUCAUAGACAUUCUGAUAAAACAGAAAGAAAUCAAAGAAAUAAAUGUAAUAAAUAGGGUAUGAUCCUUUCAGAGUAUAACUAUAUUUGAAAAAAAGAAAAAGAAGUAAUUCAACAAAAAUCCUAGGAUGGUUAUAUUUUAUGCUACAAUUGAACAAAACAAACAGCAAAAGCAUUAUUCUAUAAAGCUUAGAACGGCUAAAAAGAGUACCUAAUUAAAAACAGCAAACAAGCAAUAUGAGUUGUGAACUAAUCAUUAUUACAAAUACUUAAGAUCAUUUCGAUGGAAAUGGAAUGAACAAAAAAAUGAAUUAUAUCAAAGCAAAAUAAGAUCUUGUACAAUCAACGUUCCUCGUUACUCAUAACCUGGUGCAAAGCUAAGUUCUUUGUUUUUACCUAUUGGAGCAUGAGAAAUGAAAAUAAAAAUUAUUAUUAUUAUUAUUAUUAUUAUUAUUAUUUUGGAUUACAAUGUUAAGAUCUAGUGUUCCAACUUAAAAGUCAACUUUAUUAGGAAGAAUAGCCAAUUUUUUAUAAGUUGAUCUAUAUUUAUCUUUAUUUGACGUGAAUUAUAUCUUUUAACAUUCCCAUAUAAGAUGCUGACUCGUUUGAGCAAACCAAUUUUUAAAUUCGUGUGCACAUUUUUUGAGUCUUAAUUGGAUUGAGUUGCUCGUUAAAGUUUAAUGAGUUUUGAUAUUAUGUUAAGAUUUGAAAUUUUAUCUUAGAAUGUCAACCUUAUUAAGAGAAGUAGCACAAUUAUUUAUAAGUUGGUGUAUGUUUUCAUCUUUAGUUGAAGUUGAACUUUGUCACUUAACACACAAGGUUUAGUUUGUAUUACUAUUACUAUCGAGAAAUAGAGUUAUUCUUCUUGGAUAGGGCAAACGUGGCCCUGCCCAUCUAGCAUAACUCCGAGAAGUAUAGCAAUAAGAAAUUGAAAUCUAAGAACAACUAAAAACCAAAAAUUUAACGUACUAUUUUCCUCAAUUUGUAAUAAUUUUUUCUCUGACUCUGAAAUUUUAAAUAUAUUUCUCUCAUCUGUUCUUUUAUUUUUUUGUUGUCAACUUGAAUCCAUGUAGUGUUCGGUUCUUGUUAGAACCGAACCGAACAAAAAAUUUUCGGAUAUUUAGUAAAUGGAACCGUUAGAUCCAAAUUUAAUUAUAGAACUGUUCGAGUUCGGUUUCAUUUGGUUCUCAAAUUUCAUAUUAUAAUUGAACUUUUUAAUAUUUACAAAGUUAUAUUAAUUCAACUAAUGAUAUGUUCAAUUUUAGUUCUUAUAAAAUAAUAUAGUAUAAUUUUAUUUAUCUUUUGCGUCUCUCUUUACUGAGUUCUUCAUAGAUUUGAUUGUUAAAAUUACAGGAAGAUGAAGAUAUCGAGCUCAAAAUAACUAAGAGAGGUGUUGUCGAACUUCAAUUCGAUUUCUCCAAAAUGGUAGAAACGGCAUUACGGUAAAGUAACUGAUUUGGAUAUCAAUUUGAUUAAAUUAAUUGGCUUUGAACUGAAAUUUAGAAAUAGAAAAAUCAUAUUUUUGGAUUUAAACUAAAUUAACUAGUUAUCAAAUUUAUUUAGAAAAAAUAAAAUAAUUUGGCUUAUUUAAAAUAAAUUAAUUAAAAAAUUGAGGAGAUUCAAUUCUUUGGUUCUUGAUCUAAAAUCAAGAACUGAAUUAAAUUCGUUGAUUCUCGAUUCAGAUACACGUUUGAGUAUUUAGUUUAAGAAGAAUCGCUCAAUUCGAUUUGAUCGAUUCGAUUUCGAAGUUUUGUCCAGCCCUAUUUUCAGGUCAAUAGUAGUUUUUAUUCACUUGACCAAUGGUUCUUUUGUGAUGAAUUAACCAUUGUAUAUUUUAUUGAAAAUUAUAAAUCUCAUUUCUAUUUCGCUCAAGAACACGUUGUAGGUUCACCUCAAUGAGAAAUUACAUUAUCUCCCGACGCUGCAGUAACUCAUAUGAUAAAAAAAAAGAUCUACAAGAGAAAAUCGCACACCUAUAUCAUCUAGCCUCUCUUUUUAUGAUAAUAAUAAAGACUAAUAACAGCUCCCCCCAUUUAUAAGAUAAAUCAGGGCAAACUCUAUGAAAUGACAAUAAUUAGGCUUUACAACAGAACAUAUUUAUGGUGUUAAACUCGAUGAAAUCCACCAAACUAGCUAACCUAAUUCAAUUUUAUCUCAUUAAUUUCAACUUAAUUAAGAUGUCUAUUGACAAUCAAGUACUCAAAAAAUAGGUGUCUUAUCCCAGGAUAAAAUGGCAAUCGCCUUGGGGUUCUAACACCUCUAAUAUUUUUUUGGUCAAUAUAAUAAAUUAAUGAAAUAUAUUCUACAUAUAAUAUAGAUUUUGUGUUGACUACAGGGACGAGAGUCUGACUAUUAAAGAUUCUUUAAUAAUUCACCUUAUACGUACUAUUGAAGAAUUCGUGGAUGAGUUAUGCGUGGGCAAAUUAUGCUCUACAAGAUAAAUUGGAGAUAAUUAAUCUAGUUGUACAAAAAAAAAUUGACAAAAAUGGUUAACAAAACAAGUGUUGGCAGAAUCUUAGCUUUGAAUUUCAAAUGAUUUAAAAAAAAAUAUUUUUGAAAUGACUAGUGUGGAUGUUGUUUUAUAAAUCAACUUUGUCAACUAAUUUUAUACAAAUGACAUGACUCAAUUGGAGAUCUUGUUAUUACUAGAUCAGUGUGUUUGAAAAUAAUAUUUAAAAAAAGCUUUCAAGACACAAUUGGGGCAUUAUGAAUUUGUUGUAAUUUAUUGAUUCCUACUAUUUUCCUCGUAAUGAAAAGUGAGUUAUUUGGUUUUAUUAAAUUUAGUAACCAACCAAUAUGAUUAAAAAAGGGUGAUUAUAUUGAUACCACAAUUUUCAUCUGUUACACCACAUUUUAAUUGCGUUUAAGUUCUACAAUCUUUUCUCAUUGUAGUAAUUAUUUUCAUGACUUUUUUUUUUCAUUGAAUUCUUAUCUUCUACUUGUUAAGAAAACUAACAGUUAGCAUGCUAUAUUGGAAGAGAGAUGAUUGCUUGAUUAGAGUAAGAGGCAUGAUUGCUUGAUUACAACAUAUUUUUUUUUUCUUUCAUUCAUUUUAAUCUUUAUUAUUUCUUUGUAUACAAUAUUCAGCCUUCAUUGUAAACUCUUAUAUAAGUGAAUACAUGUUUCUCGUCUUGGCACUUUGGACCAACACCAUUUUAUACAAUUCUUUCACGGUAUCAAAGCUUCUAUAGCUUACACUAAAACAAGUUCCUGUCAUUUUAUUAUCAAUGGCUUCCAUUUCCAUGGUUACUCUCAACCGAACUUAUCUCAGUUGGUUUCGGUGAAGAUGGAGGGUACCAAUUAUCUUAAUUGGUCUCAUAGCUGCAACUUGCUAUACGCAGUAAUGAUUUGCUAGAAUUUGUGGAUGGUUCAGUACCCUGUCUUGAGAAAUUUCUUAACCUGAGGAAAGCCUACCAAGGAUAUUGAUCCUAAAUUUAUUAUGUGGAACAAGAAGGAUCAAUUUGUCCUAGGAUGGCUGAAUGCUACUCUAAUAGAUAAAGUCCUUCUUUCUGUUUUUGGUUUUAUCUCUGCCAAACAAGUGUGGGACUCUCUAGCCAAGCUAUAUACUUCACACUCGCCUAACCAUGUGCAACUAUUCAAGCGCCAACUAUAGACACUGUUGCAUGGAAAUAGAAUAUGCACUGAUUAUUUAUUACCGCCAAAUCCCUUGCCGAUCAACUUGCAGUUGCUGGUAAGCUAGAAAGUGAGAAUGAUCUUCUCUCUUACGUGUUGAGUCGAUUGAAUUCAACUUUUAAUCCUUUUGUCAUGUAUAUUUCGUUUGCCUUACAAUAUAGUACUAUGAGUAUUGAUGAAUUCCAAUCAGAUUUGCUUUCUUAUGAGAUAAUGAUCGACAACCAAGCUCAUUUAUCCUCUAUGAAGCAACCGACAUUUGCUAUAGUUGCUAGCAAAAAUCCACAUGAGGGAAGAAAGUUGCGUAACAAACGAAAUUAUACUCCUAAAAAUUCUCUAAGACAAGGUUCAUGCAAGCCACAGUUUUCAAAGUCUCAUCCGCAAAGAGGAUCUACGAAGGCGCAAGAAGGGCCAUCCACUCUAAUGCCCAGUGGGAAAGGCAACUCUUAUUCUAACACUAUCUGUCAAAUUUGUGGAGAAACAAGUCACCAAACCUUGGUCUGCUACCAUCAUAUGAAUUACAGUUAUCAGGGACGCCAUCCACCAACACAACUUGUUGUAAUGGUUGCUCAAAGCACCCAUAUUUUUUAGGAGUCCAACGUAUGUUGAUUUGGGGACAAGCCAACAUAUUACUAAUAAGAUGCUAAUUUGUCUUUGCAGGAACCUUACACUGGUGAGGAUUUGGUGGCUGUAGGUAAUGGAUAUGGUCUCUCCAUUUCCAAUAUCGUUUCUUUCUCUAUCCAAAAUCCUCAAAAAAAUUAUUCCUUAAAGAUGUACUACAUUUUUCUAAUGUCUUGAUCAAUUUGCUCUCUAUCAAUAAAUUCUGCCUGGAUAACAAUUGUUAUUUUAUUCUAACUGAUACUCAUUAUUGUGUCAAGGACAAGAUAACGGGAAAAAAAGCUUCUAGAGGGAAAAAGUGAAGGUGGUCUCUAUUCUAUCACGUUGAAUAAAGUUUUUCCUAAUGACUUCUGUGCUAGUGAAGCUAUAUUUAGGACCAAAACCUCUCUUGAUAUGUGGCAUGCUUGACCAAGCAAAUCAUCUUCUCCUUUAAGCUCCCAAUUGCUGAUUCUUUUUUUCAAGAGUCUAUUUGUCCUUAUCGUCAAUUAGGGAAAACUUAAACAAUUACCAUUUAAUCGGUCUAAUAGAGUGUCUGUUAGUCCGUUAACUCUCAAGUCACUCUUCUGAGCCAAGGAAGGAAGAAAAAAGCUAUGCAAAGACUAAGCCGAAUAGGAAAGAUUCUUCAACCUUAACCGAAUAAAGAUCGGGAUUAAGAGAAAGAGAAUAGGAUAUCCCAGAUCGAAAGGAGAUCCUCGACGUAAACAUUUAGUUCACUAUCAGCAAAAGCACCACCUAGUUCAGGAGCAUGUUGAGACUGGGCCAAGUUCUCUUUUGGAUCAACCUUAGUCUACAAAGGGAAUUGGGCCUUUUCUUUGUCUCGCAAUGCUCUGUUAGCAAUGUAAGCCAUCAGUCGUCUACACAAUGCACGACGGACCAUAGCCAACUUCCCAAUCUGUGUCUAUCAAGUGGUUGUCGAUAUUAUGCUAUUUUUAUUGAUGAUUAUUCAUGUUUUAUUUGGAUGUAUCAUAUUUCAACUAAAUCAGAAGAUUUAGUUGUUUUGUCAAAUUUAAACUAUUAGCAAAAAACCUUUUCUCUUGUAAAAUUAAACAAUUUCAAUCAGAUAAUGGUAGAGAAUAUACUCCAAAUCAAUACAUUUCAUUUAUUAAUUCUCAUGGUAUUCUCCAUCGGCUUACUUGUCCAUAUACAUCACAACAAAUAGAGUUUCUGAAAGAAACGUCAUAUUGUGGAAAUUGGAUUAUCCUUAUUGGCUCAAUCCAAUCUUUCAAAACAAUUUUGGGUCAAUGCCUUUUCCGCUACCAUAUUUAUCAUCAAUCUUCUACAACUCCUAUUUUACAUUCCGACUUUCCUUACAGUCUUCUAUUCAAAAGAUCACCUAAUUACUCUCAACUAAAAUCUUUUGGGUGUGCUUGUUAUCCUCUCCUUAGACCCUAUAAUACAAACAAGCUUGCCUUCUGCAGUAAACAAUGCAUCUUCAUAGGCUACUCAUCCAAUUAAAGAGGUUAUCGAUGUCUUGAUCCCAUCUCAAAGAGAGUAUAUUUAUCACGGCAUAUAGUGUUUGAUGAAAUUUGUUUUCCUACCAAGGAUACGUUCAUUGUCACCUGUCCACUGGAAGAUUUUUCACUUAUUGCGCAUCCAAGAUUUUCUCCAAGCAGCUCCUUUGACUGAAAUCACUCUUCCUCACCGAGUCCAUAUCUCCUCUCAUCAAUUCCCAUCACACUCCACGUGAACAAGUAUCCAACUCUAAUAUUUUCAGCUCUCUCCAUAUCUUGCCUCUUUCGGACAAUUUUUCUCACUUGGUGGACGAUUCUUCACCCAUUCAAUAAGUCAUCUCUCCCACAGAACCCAUAGUCACGGAUUCCUCUCACCGUUCUACCUCAUCUUCCUUACCUCCCAAUGAUUCAAUCCCUCCUUCCAAUCAGAUUGUGACAAGAUCAUAAAUAGUUCUUCACAACCCAAGUAAUUCCCUAAUUUCGUUACCCACUAUUUGACUCGACAUCCUAUAUCUACCUUGGCCAGGAUUCCUUUACCUAAAGAACCAUUGAAUUUCACACAAAAAAUAGUUUCUGCAGAGUGGAAAAAGGCAAUGGAUGAGGGAAUAUUCUACUUUACUUGCCAAUAACACAUGGACCCUUUGUCCCCAACCUAUUGAUCAUAAAGUUAUUGACACUAAGUGAGUCUAUAAAAUUAAACAAAAACGUGAAUGUUUCUCUCGACCUUCGCAAAGCUCGCUUAGUGGCUAAGAGAUAUAAUCAAAUUUGUGGCAUUGAUUUUUCUGAGACUUUUAGUCCUUUUAUCAAACUUGCCACUGUUCGCAUUGUUUUGACUCUUCUCAUACACUUUGGAUGGGAUAUCAAGAAAUUGGAUGUGUCUAAUGCCUUCCUUCAUAGUACUCUUGAUGAAGAAGUUUACAUUUCUCAACCUCAAAGUUAUGUUGAUCCACACCAUCUGCAUUAUGUAUGUCUUCUAGUAAUAAGGUCUUUUAUGGAUUUAAGUAGGCUCCAAGAGCUUAGUUUAAUCGAUUCUCUCAAUGUCUUUUGGAACUUAGAUUUUUGGAUCCUCGACUCAUCACUCUCUUUUAACUUAUCACCAAACUGAUGUUCAUAUUUUUAUUUUGGUCUAUGUGAAUGAAAUUCUUAUUAUUAUUGCUCCUGUAAUUAAAAUUUGAUCCUGCCUUGAAGGAUUUGGGGUCUCUUUAUUAUUUUCUUGGAAUUCUGGUCACUCGUGGAUCUCAAGGUUUGCAUCUCUGUCAAUCCAAUUACAUAUUAGACAUUUUAGAUCGUGCUCAUGUGGUUGGUACCAGGCUGUAUUCAACACCAUCUACCUUAGGUUCGAAGCUUGCUGCGUCUAGUGGUGAUCCUUUUUCUCAUGCCACUAAAUAUCAUCAAACUGUUGGUGCUCUCCAAUAUUGCACUCUUACUUGUCCAAAAAUUGCUUAUUCCAUCAAUCAACUUUGUCAACAUCUCCACGCUCCUACUACUAUACAUUGGAUGGCUGCUAAAUAUGUCCUCUGCUAUCUUAAAGGUACAGUUGAUCAUGGUCUUACUUUCUCCAAGGGGAGUCUUUACUUACUAGCAUAUAGUGAUUCUAAUUGGACGGGUAAUCUGGGUGAUCAUCCCUCCACCACUAGCUUUGGUACUUUCUUAGGUCCUUGUUUAAUUUUUUGGUGUGAUAAGAAUCAAUCGAUCAUCGCUCGAUCAAGUACUAAGGUAGAAUAUCGGGUUUUAGCAAUGACUGUUGCCGGACUCUAUUGGAUUAGGAUGGUUCUCAAAGAUUUACAAGUCCCUCUUACACAUGUUCCAACUAUUUGAUGCGAUAAUUUAGUUACUAUUGCCCUUGCCUGCAAUCCCAUUUUUCAUGCUCGCACUAAACAUGUGGAGGUGGAUGUUCAUUUUAUUCAGGAGAAAAGUUUGAAUAAGGAUGUUGCUAUUAAGUUUAUUUCUACAUAUGACCAAAUUGUCAAUGUUUUCACAAAGGAGCGGGCUUCUUCUCGAUUCUCUUUCUCAAGGCCAAGCUUAUGGUUUGUCUUUCCCCUAUUUGCUUGCAGGGAGAUGUUAAGGAAACUAAUAGUCAGCAUACUAUAUUGGAAGAGAUAUGAUUGCUUGAUUAUAGGAAGAGACGUAAUUGCUUGAUUACAACAUUUUUUUUUCUUUCAUUCCUUUACAACAUUUUUUUCUUUCAUUCCUUUUAAACUUUAUUCUUUCCUUUUAGUCAUUAUUCUUUCUUUGUACAUAAUAUAUAGCCUUCAUUGUAAACUCUUAUAUAAGUGAAUACAUGUUUCUAUUCUUGGCACUUUGGACCAACAACAUUUUAUACAAUUCUUUUACUACCUUCCAGUAAA
rnacentral:lncRNA from 1 species